rnacentral:rRNA from 1 species
AUGGCUCAGGAUGAACGCUAGCGGCAGGCCUAACACAUGCAAGUCGCGGGGCAGGCACGGGUAGCAAUACCUGGUGGCGACCGGCGCACGGGUGCGUAACGCGUAUGCAACCUGCCCCCACCUCAGGGGGAAUAGCCCGCCGAAAGGCGGAUUAAUGCCCCAUAGGCCCGGGGCGCCGCAUGGCGCUAUGGGUAAAGCUCCGGCGGAUGGGGAUGGGCAUGCGUGCCAUUAGCUAGUUGGGGCGGUAACGGCGCACCAAGGCGACGAUGGCUAGGGGGUCUGAGAGGAUGGUCCCCCACACUGGUACUGAGACACGGACCAGACUCCUACGGGAGGCAGCAGUGAGGAAUAUUGGUCAAUGGGCGGAAGCCUGAACCAGCCAUGCCGCGUGCAGGAAUGACGGCCCUACGGAUUGUAAACUUCUUUUAUAGUAGAAUAAAGUGAUCCACGUGUGGAUUUUUGUAUGUAUACUAUGAAUAAGGAUCGGCUAACUCCGUGCCAGCCGCUGC